AUGAGACCUGCAGAUUAUCAUAGAUGGAGACCUAGAAAAGCCACGCCAUGUCCACGGGUGGCACGGAUAGGUGUUUUCUUUCAAUGGUACCCCAGAGGGAACUCAGGUUUGAGAAAACUAGGAGUGGAUAGUGUUUCCAGUACAAGAUACUGCAUCAGCUUUUGGAAAUCUCUGAGACCAGCAGAUAGAGCUUCUCAUGUUUACUUCCAAAGACACAGGACUGACUCCUCAGCACUGGGGUCUUGAUCCUGGAAAAGAAAGGAAGAAAGACAGGGCUGAAGAGAUGGUUCAUAGGUUAAGAGCACUGACUGCUCUUCCAUAGGUCCUGAGUUCAAUUCCCAGCAACCACAUGGUGGCUCACAACCAUCAGUUAUGAGACCUGGUGCCCUCUUCUGGUAUGCAGAUAUACAUGGAAGCAGAAUGUUGUAUAUGUAAUAAAUAAAUAACCACAUGGUGGCUCA
rnacentral:lncRNA from 1 species